AUCAUCCUCCACUCAACAAUCACCGAUGGAAUCAUCCUCUGCUCCACCUAACUGUCAACGAUUUCCCCUGAAUCACAUGGCAACGAUUGGACUUCAACAACAAGCAAAUCAUUUUGUUUCUUAACUGCGACCAACGUCUUGAUCUUCUUAAUAUGAGAGCACCCCAGGGUGGUCUCAGUGUUCUUGAACAAAGGUAGAAAGUUACACACAACUAGAUCAUGAGAUUUCAUUGGGCUCGAAGAUAACAGCGUAAUACGGUCGAGUUCGAUCUGGAAGAAGGCGAGAUUUGGUGAAAAUACCAUCAUAGGAAACCUUGAUACAGAUAUGAGGAGUCAAAACAAGCCCACUUGGUGACAGCCAUGUUAUUACAACCGGGCUUCUUACUCGGUGCACACCAUCUUUCCAUAUCAGAGCUCCAGACUCCGGUGCUGUUUGUCUAGUCUUCGUUGUGACUUGUGAACGUAAUCUUGUACGACAGUUUCUGGUAUUUCUUGGUGAAACUAAGGACUGACGGUUCCACUUUCACGUCCACGCCUUUGAACUGUGAAAUCGAAACAUGGUACUUCGAGGUUGGAGAUCCGACAUUAGUGACUAUUCUGCGAAUCGUCACCGUAGAAACCCUUUUGACUUCAGCAAACACAGCUGAGAGAGCUAGCAAACACAGCUGAGAGAGCUGGGUAGUUCAAAUCGCUAGGUCCGGAAAGCGAAUGCUGGCAGGUUCUAUUGGAGAAUUUGGUGAAAACCACCAGCUGAGUGCGCGUCAAACCCUGCGUGCACAAAAAGUCAAAGUAAUCCUGUGCUCCAAUAUCGUAAAUUAAACCAGGGUCAAUCGCUCUAACAGGGUUAAUGUGACCUGCACCGUGGUCAUACGGGCUGGACGGACCGCCAGUGGAAGAGUCUUGUAGCGUUUUAUAGGUAUUGUCGUGGAUGUACGCUGUCGUCAUCAAAGCGGAUUUUAUAGUCGCUGGACUCCAUUCCGGAUGCCGUGCUCUGAGUAACGCAGCAACUCCACUCACAUGAGGAUAUGACAUUGAAGUUCCCGAAAGUAUAUUGAAUCCAACUCUGCGUUUAUCCGCCUCGAGGCUCUUCCUCCUUGUUAAUCUUCCCAGUAGCCGCUUCAUAUCCGCGGUAAAACGCUCUCGCACCGACUAUCUUCUUAUUACAAUGAUGCUUUUGGAAACCUCGACCGACUUCACACGCGCCUUUCCAGUGGGCUGGGACCGUAGUGAAUCCAGUGUCGUUAAAGCUCGGACUCUCCGGCCAGAUUCCAGUAUCCAGCACACCCACAACAACAUCAUGGUCUGUUAACUUAUCAGACCAGACACUCGUAACAUCCUGUGUCUCAAGUCCUAGAAACAUAGGACUUCUUGUAGUUUGCAGCUCAUAUUUCACCUCAGGAAGUACCCCCACAACACCGUUUUGUCCCUCUAGUCUCUCCGCUUCCUCUUCGGUUAACCGUGCCGCCAUUCCAUGAAAAGCCGAUUGGUACGUGUGGAAUUGCUUGGAAUGAAGGUAGAUGACGAUGGCUCAGAGAUCAAUCUAAAAAACCACAACAAAUGCCAAAAGAUCCAAUUAUAAGCUGGUCAACAACUUAUUAAGACCUGCUAUCAACAACCAACAGAUUCUCUUCGAGCCUAUUUCAUUAUCGAUUGAAAACUUGAACUUAGUUAUCAAGGAGCUCGUUAAGGAAAAAGACGAAGAAAAAGAAAGUUCAAUGGAAUUAUUGCAGGGUGGUUGGCUGAAAAAGAUAAGGUGGAUAAAGAUGCUAUGCUUAUUGGAACUUGACUAAACCGGGGGUGAUGAACCGGUGUACGUGAAUUAUGGGACAACUGUUGAAUAAAGAUUGAAUCAAGAUGCAUGGCCUUAUCUAUUCCUUAUUAUUGUUUCAGUUAGUUACGUAUUCUUUUUUAUAAGGAUUGUUUUGGCAUUUUUUUCUUCAUAAGAAAUUAAAAAGAAAGUUUGUUCG
rnacentral:lncRNA from 1 species